GACGAACGCUGGCGGCGUGCUUAACACAUGCAAGUCGAACGGAAAGGCCCUGCUUUUGUGGGGUGCUCGAGUGGCGAACGGGUGAGUAACACGUGAGUAACCUGCCCUUGACUUUGGGAUAACUUCAGGAAACUGGGGCUAAUACCGGAUAGGAGCUCCUGCUGCAUGGUGGGGGUUGGAAAGUUUCGGCGGUUGGGAUGGACUCGCGGCUUAUCAGCUUGUUGGGGGGGUAGUGGCUUACCAAGGCUUUGACGGGUAGCCGGCCUGAGAGGGGGACCGGCCACAUUGGGACUGAGAUACGGCCCAGACUCCUACGGGAGGCAGCAGUGGGGAAUAUUGCACAAUGGGCGGAAGCCUGAUGCAGCAACGCCGCGUGCGGGAUGACGGCCUUCGGGUUGUAAACCGCUUUCGCCUGUGACGAAGCGUGAGUGACGGUAAUGGGUAAAGAAGCACCGGCUAACUACGUG
rnacentral:rRNA from 1 species